GGAGUUAGGAAAUGCAGGUGCGUUAAUAGCGCACUUGCUUGACUAAGGCUCCAGAGGAAGCCACGGCUAACUCUGUGCCAGCAGCCGCGGUAAUACAGAGGCGGCAAGCGUUGUUCGGAAUUAUUGGGCGUAAAGAGCACGUAGGCGGCCUUGCAAGUCAGUUGUGAAAGCCUUCCGCUUAACGGAAGAGGGGCAUCUGAUACUACAGGGCUUGAGUACGGGAGGGGAGAGUGGAACU
rnacentral:rRNA from 1 species